CUGGCUCAGGAUGAACGCUGGCGGCGUGCCUAAUACAUGCAAGUCGAACGAAGCAUCUUCGGAUGCUUAGUGGCGAACGGGUGAGUAACACGUAGAUAACCUACCUUUAACUCGAGGAUAACUCCGGGAAACUGGAGCUAAUACUGGAUAGGAUGUGUGCAUGAAAAAAACACAUUUAAAGAUUUAUCGGUUUAAGAGGGGUCUGCGGCGCAUUAGUUAGUUGGUGGGGUAAAAGCCUACCAAGACGAUGAUGCGUAGCCGGACUGAGAGGUCUACCGGCCACAUUGGGACUGAGAACGGCCCAAACUCCUACGGGAGGCAGCAGUAGGGAAUUUUCGGCAAUGGGGGAAACCCUGACCGAGCAACGCCGCGUGAACGACGAAGUACUUCGGUAUGUAAAGUUCUUUUAUAUGGGAAGAAAAAUUAAAAAUUGACGGUACCAUAUGAAUAAGCCCCGGCUAACUAUGUGCCAGCAGCCGCGGUAAUACAUAGGGGGCGAGCGUUAUCCGGAUUUACUGGGCGUAAAGGGUGCGUAGGUGGUUAUAAAAGUUUGUGGUGUAAGUGCAGUGCUUAACGCUGUGAGGCUAUGAAAACUAUAUAACUAGAGUGAGACAGAGGCAAGUGGAAUUCCAUGUGUAGCGGUAAAAUGCGUAAAUAUAUGGAGGAACACCAGUGGCGAAGGCGGCUUGCUGGGUCUAUACUGACACUGAUGCACGAAAGCGUGGGGAGCAAACAGGAUUAGAUACCCUGGUAGUCCACGCUGUAAACGAUGAGAACUAAGUGUUGGCCAAAAGGUCAGUGCUGCAGUUAACGCAUUAAGUUCUCCGCCUGAGUAGUACGUACGCAAGUAUGAAACUCAAAGGAAUUGACGGGACCCCGCACAAGCGGUGGAUCAUGUUGUUUAAUUCGAAGAUACACGAAAAACCUUACCAGGUCUUGACAUACUCUGCAAAGGCUUAGAAAUAAGUUCGGAGGCUAACAGAUGUACAGGUGGUGCACGGUUGUCGUCAGCUCGUGUCGUGAGAUGUUGGGUUAAGUCCCGCAACGAGCGCAACCCUUAUUGCUAGUUACCAUCAUUAAGUUGGGGACUCUAGCGAGACUGCCGGUGACAAACCGGAGGAAGGUGGGGAUGACGUCAAAUCAUCAUGCCCCUUAUGACCUGGGCUACACACGUGCUACAAUGGCGUAUA
rnacentral:rRNA from 1 species